rnacentral:rRNA from 1 species
UCCGCAUGGAAGGGCCAUCGCUCAACGGAUAAAAGCUACCCCGGGGAUAACAGGCUUAUCUCCCCCAAGAGUUCACAUCGACGGGGAGGUUUGGCACCUCGAUGUCGGCUCAUCGCAUCCUGGGGCUGUAGUCGGUCCCAAGGGUUGGGCUGUUCGCCCAUUAAAGCGGUACGCGAGCUGGGUUCAGAACGUCGUGAGACAGUUCGGUCCCUAUCCGUCGUGGGCGUAGGAAAUUUGAGAGGAGCUGUCCUUAGUACGAGAGGACCGGGAUGGACAUACCUCUGGUGUACCAGUUGUCGUGCCAACGGCAUAGCUGGGUAGCUAUGUGUGGACGGGAUAAGUGCUGAAAGCAUCUAAGCAUGAAGCCCCCCUCAAGAUGAGAUUUCCCAACUUCGGUUAUAAGAUCCCUCAAAGAUGAUGAGGUUAAUAGGUUCGAGGUGGAAGCAUGGUGACAUGUGGAGCUGACGAAUACUAA